ensembl:lncRNA
GAUUCAAAACACACUGAACUCAGAAGAAAGAUUAACAAAUUUCAGCAUAACUCAGGGCUGGGAGUAUUAGAGAAUACAGGGUGGAAUUUCAGCUGAAAACAAGGGAAGGAGAGAUCUUCUUUGAAUCAGGAGCUCAGAUGUAGGUUUACUAGUUUUUCAGGACCCCCAAGAGCUUAUUUGUAGCACUGCUCAAGAGGAAUUCUUCUUCCACUCUGUACACAGAUCUGGGAUUUCUGUUCCCCAAGAGCAACAUCUUGCAUACCCAGAGAAGAAAAGCAGCAUGCACAAGGUAAAGUGUGAAGGCAUGGACCUCAUUCAGCAAGUAGGAUUAGCAAUGUGUCCAGAGCAGGGAAAGAGGAGAAGAUAUCAUGCCAGGACCUCUGGCAGCAGAGAAGGGAUGGAUUCAGUAUUUUUAAUAGGAAUAUAAUGAAAUUAAAACAAAAUCUUUUGGAUGACCUCUCCGUCAAGGUGUCUGAUC